CACCUUGACGGUACCUAACUAGAAAGCCACGGCUAACUACGUGCCAGCAGCCGCGACAAUACGUAGGUGGCAAGCGUUGUCCGGAAUUAUUGGGCGUAAAGGGCUCGCAGGCGGUUUCUUAAGUCUGAUGUGAAAGCCCCCGGCUCAACCGGGGAGGGUCAUUGGAAACUGGGGAACUUGAGUGCAGAAGAGGAGAGUGGAAUUCCACGUGUAGCGGUGAAAUGCGUAGAGAUGUGGAGGAACACCAGUGGCGAAGGCGACUCUCUGGUCUGUAACUGACGCUGAGGAGCGAAAGCGUGGGGAGCGAACAGGAUUAGAUACCCUGGUAGUCCACGCCGUAAACGAUGAGUGCUAAGUGUUAGGGGGUUUCCGCCCCUUAGUGCUGCAGCUAACGCAUUAAGCACUCCGCCUGGGGAGUACGGUCGCAAGACUGAAACUCAAAGGAAUUGACGGGGGCCCGCACAAGCGGUGGAGCAUGUGGUUUAAUUCGAAGCAACGCGAAGAACCUUACCAGGUCUUGACAUCCUCUGACAAUCCUAGAGAUAGGAUGUCCCCUUCGGGGGCAGAGUGACAGGUGGUGCAUGGUUGUCGUCAGCUCGUGUCGUGAGAUGUUGGGUUAAGUCCCGCAACGAGCGCAACCCUUGAUCUUAGUUGCCAGCAUUCAGUUGGGCACUCUAAGGUGACUGCCGGUGACAAACCGGAGGAAGGUGGGGAUGACGUCAAAUCAUCAUGCCCCUUAUGACCUGGGCUACACACGUGCUACAAUGGACAGAACAAAGGGCAGCGAAACCGCGAGGUUAAGCCAAUCCCACAAAUCUGUUCUCAGUUCGGAUCGCAGUCUGCAACUCGACUGCGUGAAGCUGGAAUCGCUAGUAAUCGCGGAUCAGCAUGCCGCGGUGCAUACGUUCCCGGGCCUUGUACACACCGCCCGUCACACCACGAGAGUUUGUAACACCCGAAGUCGGUGAGGUAACCUUUUAGGAGCCAGCCGCCGAAGGUGGGACAGAUGGUUGGGGUGAAGUCGUAACAAGGUAACC
rnacentral:rRNA from 1 species